rnacentral:rRNA from 1 species
GGGGGGAAAUUAAUAAAAUAUAAAUAAUAAAAAAAUUUUUAAUAUUGGGGGGUAUUAAAGUAUUUUUUWAAAAAAAAUAAAUUAUUUUAUAGUAAAUUAGUAUUGUGAAAGAAAUUUGAAAUAAUUGAAAAUGAAUUAAUUAAAAAGUAAUUUUUAUUUAAUGUAUCUUGUGUAUCAGAGUUUAUUAAAAAAUAUUUUUUUUUUAGAAAAAUCUCGAAUUUAAAAGAGUUAAUUAAUUAUAAAAGUUAAUGUAGAAAAAUUAUUUUAAAUAAUUAAUUUGUAAUGAAAUGUUAAUCGUUUUUAAAUAUAUCUAGUUAUUUUAGAAAAAAAUUUAAUUUAAAAUUUAAAAAAUUUUAUUUUUAAUUAUAAUUAAAAAUAAAAUUUUUAAAAUUAAAUAUAUUAAGGGAUAAGCUUUAAUAUAAAAUUUUAUAAUAAAAUAAAAUUUAAUUAAAAGUUUUAAAAUUUAUAUUGUUUAAAAAUUAUAAUUUAUUAUAAAAAAUUUUAUUUUUAAUAAAAUUUAAUAAAAAUUUAAUUUUAUAUAAAAUAAUAAUAAAAAUAAUAAAAAAUUAAAAAUAAUGAUAAAAUUAGUAUAUUUAAUUUAAAAUAUAAUUUAAUUAAUAAUAAUUAAGUUAAAGGAAUUCGGCAAAAUUUUAUAUUCACUUGUUUAUCAAAAACAUGUCUUUUAGAAUAAUAAUUUAAAGUCUAAUCUGCCCACUGAUAAUAUAUUAAAGGGCUGCAGUAUAUUGACUGUACAAAGGUAGCAUAAUCAAUAGUCUUUUAAUUGAAGACUUGUAUGAAAGAUUUGAUGAAAUAUAAACUGUCUCUAAUUUAAUAAUAAAAUUUAAUUUUUUAGUUAAAAAGCUAAAAUAAUUUUAAAAGACGAGAAGACCCUAUAGAGUUUUAUAUUAAUUUUAUUUAAGAUUAUUUAUAAAAUUAAAAAUUAAAAAUAAAAUUAAUAUUUUAUUGGGGUGAUAAAAAAAUUAAUAUAACUUUUUUUAAAAAUUUAAACAUAAAUAAGUGAUUAAUUGAUCCAUUAAUUAUGAUUAAAAGAAAAAAUUACCUUAGGGAUAACAGCGUAAUAUUUUUUUUUAGUUCGAAUAAAAAAAAAAGUUUGCGACCUCGAUGUUGGAUUAAGAUAAAAUUUAAAUGCAAAAGUUUAAAAUUUUGAUCUGUUCGAUCAUUAAAAUCUUACAUGAUCUGAGUUCAAACCGGUGUAAGCCAGGUUGGUUUCUAUCUUUAGAUAAAGAAAAUAUUUUAGUACGAAAGGAUCAAAUAUUUUUAAUAAUUAAAAUUUAGUGAAUAAUAAUAAUAGUAAUUAAUAU